rnacentral:lncRNA from 1 species
AUUCAACGAUCAAUAUAAACCUACAAUCAGGCACAAGGCAUCGCAUACAAUACAAUCGUACUCAAUAUCCAUACUACCAUCAAAUUUGUUUUUUUUUUUUGUUCACAUUCAAUUCGGUCAACAAAACAAAAAUCUCUAUCCUGUUAUUCUACACACUGGGUUUGGACGCCAGCAACCUCGAUCUGGACCCCGUUCCUACAUCAUCUGUAAAGAGUAAAGAGUGAGUCCAUAUAACUCAGUACAAUGAAAAUUAAAAUACAUGUGUGAGAUGCAACAAUAUAAAACUCCAUGCAUCUACCAACGGUUCACUACUUAAGGAAAGUCCCUAUAUGUAAUAACUGAAAAAAAAAAGAAAAAAAAACGGGGGAGAGGGAAAACGAUGUCGUUUUGCAGAGGAGAGAAAACGACGUCGUUUUGUAGAGGGGAGAAAACAACAUCGUUUUGAAAAGAAAAAAAUGACACCGUUCUGGGGAAACUGGUGGGAUAUAAAUAGGGGGCGGGGAAGGAAGGAAAAAGAAGGAAAGAGAAAGAAAAAAAAAAGAAAGAACAGAGGAAUAAGGGAGCGAGAAAGAGAAAGAGGAGAAGAAGGAAGGUUCUAGAAGGAGAAAGAAGGGAAGCGGAGCGAAGGGAAGCAGAGCGAAGGGAAGCGGAGCGAAGGGAAGAGGAGGCUGCGGACGGUGAUAGCACAAUCGACAGGCAGAAGGAAGAUGGAAAUGGGAGGUAUGGUGAUAUAUUUCAAAUAUGUGUGUGUUGAUUUGAGAUUGAAAAUGUGGAUGCGAAAUCUGGAGCUGUGGUGUGUGUUUGUGAGUGUUUACGGAGGUAGCAGUGUACAGAGGAGGCAGUAUAGGGGAGUGCGUGCGAUAAGGUGUGUAGAAAGGAGUUGGUCGCGUGAGAACCGUGGGGGGGAGGGGGGAGGGAGAAAAAGAGGUUAUUGGUGUGUGGAGUCCGAGAGUACCGAGAGAGAGAAAGAGGUUGUCGGUGUGUGGAGUCUAAGAGUACCGAGAAAGAGAAAGAGGUUGGCGAUGCG